rnacentral:rRNA from 1 species
AGAAUGAACGUUGGCGGCGUGGAUUAGGCAUGCAAGUCGAGCGAGAACCGGAGCAAUCCGGGGAAAGCGGCAAACGGGGUAGUAAUGUGUCGGUACGUGCCCUCAGGUCGGGGAUAGCCAGGGGAAACUCUGAUUAAUACCCGAUGAUCUCAAGAGAGCAAAGGUCCGCUGCCGGAGGAGCGGCCGACAUGGUAUCAGGUAGUUGGCGGGGUAAUGGCCCACCAAGCCUUAGACGCCUAGGGGGCGUGAGAGCGCGACCCCCACCACUGGGACUGAGAUACUGCCCAGACACCUACGGGUGGCUGCAGUCGAGAAUCUUCCGCAAUGGGCGAAAGCCUGACGGAGCGACGCGCGUGCGGGAUGAAGGCCCUUGGGUUGUAAACCGCUGUCAGGGGGAUGAAAGCCGUAAGGCUUGACAGAGCCCCAGAGGAAGCACGGCUAAGUCGUAGCCAGCAGCCGC